UAGAAUCCAGCUACAUCGGGUGAGACGAGGCAAACCCAAGCGAGUCUCUACUGCUCUAUAUGAUCGCAAUGAGGGCGUUCACAGCGGCAUCACCAUGCCCCCGCCACACUCCCCAUGCGCGACGCCUCCAUCACGCCAUCACCGUCCUUCCCCACGCGAUUCCCUUCCCCACGCCUGCGCCACCAUCCCGCUAUCACCGCUCACCCGAGUCAUCACGCCAUCACCGCCUGUUGGGGACUUGCUCUCAAAUGCUAUAAGUUAAGAACAAGGCAACACAAAAAAUAUUAAACGUUAAAGUCCUUCGUCCUUCGGAGCACUAUUUCCCUUGGGAUAUAAUGCUUUUCGGACGAAGGUUAUGAAAGACAGACCUUCAUCAACACACCAUAUAAUAAUGAAGAAGGAAUUAUAUAGAAUGUAAUAUACACAAUUAUGUAUAAUUAACAAUUCAUUACUAUAUUAUUAUUAUGGAGACAUAGAAAUGAUAUAGAAUUACAAAUGUACCUUCGGCUUAAAAGAAGGUAAAAGUACAAGUGUGACGCAAAAGUAAGUGUCAAGUCAGCGUGAACAGUACGGGAGCACUGUUCACCUAUUUAUAGGCACAGGACACAGCCCAUGUAAAAUUACAUCCAUGCCCUUUACAUUUGGUAGUAAUUCUAUAGUAAUCCACCGAGGUCUGAAUAGCCUUUUCAUCUUUAAGUCGGUUUCCUUUUCUGCUAUUAUGCCGAAGCUUUCCUGCUUACAGCUUCGGUGCUGUGUUGACCUUCGUAUUCUUUGGGCUUCUCCCACUGUGGUACCGAUUCGAGUCCGAAGAUACCUGUUUACACAUUAUACUCUAGAAACAUCGUUAAAUCAUGUUUUUGAGGACCUUCGGAAGCCGAAGGCCCCCAACAGUAGCCCCUCGCAAUAUUAAUUUGUUAGAUUAAUAAAUUUAAAUUGCGACAUGGACGAAGGCCUUAAGCCGAAGGUCCGAAAAAACACCUUUCCUUUGCUAGAAUAGCAACAUUCACUGACAAGCGGGGCUUUCCAAUUUUCAAUGCACUGGGCGUAUAAAUAAGAGCAUACCACGAGCUCAGUUGGCAUGCUUUCUUGCCAUCUGCUCUUGCUUACUCAAUUUUUAGCUCUUGCGCACCAACACUUGCUUGGCUUUUUAAGUUUUCAAGCUUCGGCUUUGAAAACAGUUUUUUUAGUAUUUUCGAAGAUGUCUGAAGAUAAAAAGGCUGCUAUCGAGAUGAAGCUGAGUCUCUCUGAAGAGAAAAACCUGGGGUUUCUUGAAGCAAUGUCGAAAACCAAUACAGAAAAGAUCACCAAAGAGAUUUUAGAGGUUUUAUCUGAAGAUACUGAUGACAGCGAUAGUUAUGAUGCGGAUAGUGGUGGUGAAGACUCCGAAGAUCGCCCUUGGCGACCAAGCCAUGCGGUUUUCGGCAAAUCAAGUAUCAAAGAAAAUCACCUUGUCAACAUGAGAGGAAGAUAUUUCCGGGACUUGUCCGUUGUGAGGGCCGACGAAGGAGAGAAGACUUGUCCGACCCCUGAGGAAAAUGAAGUCGUAGUAUUCCGAAGCUUUUUGAAAGCUGGACUACGAUUUCCCCUAAGUAGCUUUGUCGUAGAGGUGCUGAAAAUAUUUGAAAUCUAUCUUCACCAACUUACCCCCGAAGCAAUCAUAAGGAUGAAUAUCUUCGUGUGGGCCGUGAGAAGCCAAGGUCUGGAACCUGAUGCGAAAAGUUUCUGCAACAUACACGAAUUGUUAUACGAGACAAAACCCUGGGGUAAGGAGCAAUAUCACAAUAAUUUCGGCUGCUACAGUUUUGUCUCUCGGUCCGGGUCAAGCUGUCCCGUGCCAACCUUUCGGAAGAGAUGGCCCGACGACUGGAUGACAGGAUGGUUUUAUGUGAAGAAUGACCUGAAAACACGGGAAGAUAUUAAAGGUAUAAUUAUGCGCCCUAUUUGACAACGCUUCGGCCUGCGGAAGCCGAAGGUUGAAAUGAACGAGGCUGCCGAAAAAUGCCAAAGAGCCUUCGGGAUUAUUUGCUCUUUUAUUGGAACGAGAGAUCUGGUUCAAGAGCAUAUUGCCUUCAGAGUAUGGCCGCUCGCGGAAAAAUGGGAAAUGCCGCAAGAGACCAUAAAGGAGGCUGACGAAGGUGGACUUAUCAGGCUGAAGUAUACUUUCAAAUUUGGAGAUAAAUUCGUUGAGCCAGAUGAUGACUGGUUGAAAAGCAUUGAAAAUUUAAGUGAUGAACUACUUGGGGUUUAUUCAAAGGCCGAAGAUACUGCAUUGUCAGCAGCCUUCGGAGGCCGGAAAAAGAAAAGACUGAAUCGAGUGUUUGACGCAAUUGGGUUCGUGUACCCCGACUACCACUAUCCAGCGCGGGGCCAAAAAAGAAAAAACGCAACUUUUGCACAGGAAACUGCUUCAGCCGCUCCCAGCGAGCCAGCGCCGAAGAGACAAAGGGUAAAGGUUUUCACACACCGGCCACGCUACAUUGAACCAGCUACAGUGCAUGAGUUCGCCGGUGAAACCUCUUCGGCCACUGAUAUUAAAGAACCAACUUCAGUGCCGAAGAUCGAAGAAAAAACUGAAGCACCCUCAGCAAAGAAAGCAGAAAAACCGAGAACUGAAGGAACGAAAAUAUUGGAAAUUUUAAGUCCUUCAGCAAGUGUUGAGACAAUAAAAAAUCAAAAGGGCCCAGCGGUGACCCCGAAAAGAAAAAGAAUGGUCAAUGUGCUAGAUGUUCUGGAGACAAUUAAGUCCUCAAGCACAACUCCGAAGAAGGCUGUUGAAACUUCCGAAGCGGAAACUGAAAUUUUUGAUACUAAAGCUCCAAAGCAACAAACUGAGGCUGAAGCUGGGCCUUCAGAGCCCACGAAGGUAAAAUCCUUGGAAACCGAGGAAGAAGAAAAAAUGACGGAGCCAAUUCUUGUUGAAGAAAUCAGUGCUGUUGCCCCCGAAGCAUCCCCCAAAGUCCUUGAUUAUAUUGUUCGACAUGCUUCGGGGAAAAAGUUAUCAGAAGAAGAAGUUUUUGAAGCUAAUCAUUAUGCCAAAGAAUUGAAAUAUCUGAAGGGGGCACUAGUGUUCAAUGGUACAAAUGAAGAAGAUUUCCUAUACUGCCUCCCGGAUAACAAGGAAUUACUCGUCUGCCGGGAAAUGGCCCGAAGCAUGGGGUUUCCGAAGCUGGAGGCUGGCCUCUGCGCGAUGACAAAGGACGAUCUUGUGGACAGCCUUGCAUAUAAUAGCCUGAAGGUGCGAGAUCUGCGCAUUUGGAAACUUUAUGAUUUGAAAUUUAUUCUUUUAUUCUUAUACUAACUCUUUUACAUAUAGGGUUUAAUUCUAAGCAACGCGCUGAGAGCGCAAAAGAAUGCCGAAGACAAGAGCUAUGAAAUUGCUUUUAACAACCUUCGAACAGAGGUUAUCAAACUAAGAAACGAAGCCUUGGAAAAGGACAAAAUUCUAGUUACAUUGGUGGAUAAAAUAAAGGAGGACGAAGCUGCCUCUAAAGCACAAGCUGCAGCUCAAAAGCACGAGAUUGACGAUCUCCGGAAGCAAUUAGCUCGAGCUAAAGAAGAACGCAUACUUGAAGAAACGAAGCGAGAACUUAGCGACCAAUGGGCAAGUCAUUUAGAAGGAACUGUUGAAGAGCUUCGUUCGUCCAAGAAAAGAUGCUAUAACAAAUCUAUGGAGUGUGUUAAGAAAAUGAAAGCUAGCUUCGCCAGCGUUGGCGCAUUCUCGAGCGAAGAAAACUUUACAAGAGGCAACCCCGAAGGUCCCAUCGAAUGGAUUAAUCACGAAGCUGAGGCCUUUGAAGAAAUUUUAAAUAGCCGCGGAGACAUCUGCGCUUUUUCAGGUGCCAGGGGGAUUGCCACCAUUUUGGAGAAAAAGGGCUGCGAGCAUGUAAAGAUUUUAGCGCAAUCCGAAGCUACCUUGCCCUUCGAAGAUGCAAAAGAUCCUUCAGCCGAAGCUAGCAUGGUUGGUGGAAAAUUUUUUACCGAUAUCUGGGAUAAUGGUGGUCGAGAAAUGGCCCGAGAAAUUAUCCAAAAAAGCGAAAAAGGGAUCCAUGAUGCUAGAGAAGUAGCAAAGGCUGCUGAGAAAAGCGCAGAGCCCGAAGGACAAAUAGGUAUUAACUAAUGGUUUUUAUUGUGUUGUAAUUUUUGAUUUUAAACUUCGUUCGCCAUUUGUAAUAGCAAUGUAGCCGUAUCCUGUCCUCCCUCAGAUCCUACUAAAGCGCCUCCAGGCCCUCAGCCGAAAGAUGACGACGAAAUUAAAAAGAUGGCUGAAGCUAUCAUGGAUCAAGUUGUUAAUCAACUCCUGAACGAAGCUGCGGAAGUUGUACUUAGGGAAGACUAAGUGCUAUUGUAAAAACUUCUGAAAUGUAAUAUGUGUAAUAUCUUGUAACCCUGAAUGUAAUAUACUUGUUUUUUAUGGUUCAAUUCUUUACGAUGCAUGAAAUUUUACAUACGUACCGUUUUUGAGUCUUUGACGAAAAAAACACCUUCCCUUCUUUUCAUGCUUCGUGAAGAAGAAUUUUCAUUUAUCACAACAAUACCCAUAGUGCUCUGAUGAAGAAUAUCCAAGCUUCGUGAAAAUAUUUUCCGAAGCUACAUUCCGAAGACUAAUAUUGUAUCUCCUUGUGACUUAGCAUGUUUUCCCUUUUUCAAAGCAUUCUUCCGAAGAUCGAUAUUGUGUCCCCUUCUUGUGGCAUAUGCAGCAUGAUGUAUGAUGCUUAUGCUAUGCGAAAUGAUGUGAUGAUGUUAUGCUAUGUAAAAUGGUAUUUAUCCCGAAGAUACACGCACAUCCCCACAAUAAAACACAUAAUCUUUUAAAUCAGCGUUGACUUUUCGCUGUAAGCCUCCCUUAGGAGCUUCUUCGCCUUUUACUUUCGGCGGUAUUCGCGUUGACUUUUCGCGCUUCGCCUUUUACUUAGGCGGUAUCAGCGUUUAUUUUUCGCUGUAAGCUCUGCAUUCCCUUUGGAACGACUUUGGAGCAGAAAACUUACACUGCGCUCCCUUUGGAACGGCUUUUUGGUAACUUCAGCAAACUUACUCUGCGUUCCUUAGAACGACUUUUUGUUGCUUCGAAGAAUGCACACCGUGCUUUUUAAAAUAAAUUUUUGAUAAUUCGAAGGUCCUCCUUGCUAUCGCAAAUCUUUAAGCUUCAACAACUUAAACCUGUGGAGAAGAUAUAUUUUCCUUGUGGCAAACAGCGAAACUAUUACAUGAACUUUAAAAAGUGUCCUUUAUUACACAGAAAUUAAACUGAAUGGAAAAGACUGCUAUCAAGGUAGGAUAUUUGUCAAUAGAUGUGCUUCGACUCUGGCACAGUGCUAUUGACUGUGCGAGCUUCGGAUUGUUCUCUGAAGUCCCUUUGGUGUUGAGCAUAUUGGCCCCCUUCUGGCUGCUGGGCUUGUUGCAGCGGUGGUGGAGGCGGAGGCUGUUGCCAGGAGGCUUGAGGUUGACUCGCCGAAGCAACAGAAACUGCAGGGUGGUUGCCUACAUAUUCUGGGAUGUAAGGCGAAUGAAACGAAGCAGUGUGCAUGAUCUGCUUUGGCUGAGCCUGUUGUGCUGCAGCUUUGGCUAUCUCCUUUUGCUUCUGGAUGGUAACAUGGCACAUCCUGGUGGUAUGGCCCUUGUUUUCACCACAAAACAAGCAAAAUAUUCUCCUUGGUUGAUCUCCAAAUCUUCCGCCGAAGCCCCUGGCGCCUCUGCCUCUUGGAGCUGGCGGCCGGAAGGAGCUUUGCUGUUGCCCCGAAGCCUGCGAGGAACACUGUGGCCUUUGCUGCUGACUCCCCUUAUCAUCAUUUUGAGUAGAGUUGUGAAUUGACCUGACAUGCCUCGGAUAAAAUCUUCCUCCAAAGCCCCUGGUCAUUUCGGAAAACCUGAAAGCCUCCUCCCUUCUUUGACGAAAAUCAUUGUCGGCCCGAAUAUACUCGUCCAUCUUCUGGAGCAGCUUCUCCAAAGUUUGAGGAGGCUUCCUAGCAAAGUACUGAGCUGAAGGUCCUGGCCGAAGUCCCUUGAUCAUGGCCUCAAUGACAAUUUCGUUGGGCACUGUUGGCGCUUGUGCCCUCAAACGCAAGAACCUCCUGAUAUACGCCUGAAGGUAUUCUUCGUGAUCCUGGGUGCACUGGAACAAAGCCUGAGCAGUGACCGGCUUCGUCUGAAACCCUUGGAAGCUGGUUAACAACAUGUCCUUCAGCUUUUGCCAUGAAGUGAUCGUUCCUGGUCGAAGGGAGGAAUACCAGGUUUGAGCAACACUCCUGACAGCCAUAACAAAAGACUUUGCCAUGACUACAGUAUUGCCACCAUACGAAGAUACUGUUGCUUCGUAGCUCAUCAAAAACUGCUUCGGGUCUGAAUGGCCGUCGAAUAUGGGAAGCUGGGGCGGCUUGUAGGACGGAGGCCAAGGUGUAGCCUGCAGCUCAGCGGACAGAGGAGAAGCAUCAUCAAAAACAAAAUUUCCAUGGUGGAAAUUCUCAUACCAGUCAUCUUCGUUGAAGAAAUCCUCCUGAUGAAGGUCUUUGUGCUGAGGCCUUCGGUUCUGCUCAUCCUGAGUAAGAUGACGAACUUCUUCAGAAGCUUCGUCUAUCUGCCUUUGCAGUUCAGCUAGCCUGGCCAUCUUUUCUUUCUUCCUCUGCACCUGUUGAUGAAGCAUCUCCAUGUCUCUGAUUUCUUGGUCUAGCUCAUCCUCUUGCGGUAUCGGGCUGACAGCUUUCCUCUUCUGGCUUCGGGCCUCCCGAAGGGAGAGAGUCUUCUGAUUAGGGUCCAGCGGUUGCAGAGCUGCAGCCCCAGUUGCUGAAGCUUUCUUCGGUGCCAUAGCGAAGGUUUAUGAUUGCCGAAGGUGUUCAAAACUCAAAGAGUGGAAGUGAGUUCACCGGAGGUGGGCGCCAAUGUUGGGGACUUGCUCUCAAAUGCUAUAAGUUAAGAACAAGGCAACACAAAAAAUAUUAAACGUUAAAGUCCUUCGUCCUUCGGAGCACUAUUUCCCUUGGGAUAUAAUGCUUUUCGGACGAAGGUUAUGAAGGCAGACCUUCAUCAACACACCAUAUAAUAAUGAAGAAGGAAUUAUAUAGAAUGUAAUAUACACAAUUAUGUAUAAUUAACAAUUCAUUACUAUAUUAUUAUUAUGGAGACAUAGAAAUGAUAUAGAAUUACAAAUGUACCUUCGGCUUAAAAGAAGGUAAAAGUACAAGUGUGACGCAAAAGUAAGUGCCAAGUCAGCGUGAACAGUACGGGAGCACUGUUCACCUAUUUAUAGGCACGGGACACAACCCAUGUAAAAUUACAUCCAUGCCCUUUACAUUUGGUAGUAAUUCUAUAGUAAUCCACCGAGGUCUGAAUAGCCUUUUCAUCUUUAAGUCGGUUUCCUUUUCUGCUAUUACGCCGAAGCUUUCCUGCUUACAGCUUCGGUGCUGUGUUGACCUUCGUAUUCUUUGGGCUUCUCCCACUGUGGUACCGAUUCGAGUCCGAAGAUACCUGUUUACACAUUAUACUC
rnacentral:lncRNA from 1 species